rnacentral:rRNA from 1 species
CCUACGGGAGGCAGCAGUGGGGAAUAUUGCACAAUGGGGGAAACCCUGAUGCAGCGACGCCGCGUGAGUGAAGAAGUAUUUCGGUAUGUAAAGCUCUAUCAGCAGGGAAGAAGAAAGACGGUACCUGACUAAGAAGCCCCGGCUAACUACGUGCCAGCAGCCGCGGUAAUACGUAGGGGGCAAGCGUUAUCCGGAUUUACUGGGUGUAAAGGGAGCGUAGACGGCUGUGCAAGUCUGAAGUGAAAGCCCAGGGCUCAACCCUGGGACUGCUUUGGAAACUGUGGAGCUAGAGUGCUGGAGAGGUAAGUGGAAUUCCUAGUGUAGCGGUGAAAUGCGUAGAUAUUAGGAGGAACACCAGUGGCGAAGGCGGCUUACUGGACAGUAACUGACGUUGAGGCACGAAGGCCAGGGGAGCGAAAGGGAUUAGAUACCCUUGUAGUC